CAACCGCAUGCCCAAUCCGAGGCCCGGGAGGUGGUUGGGGAGUGAAUUUUCUGGAAGGCGAUUUUAAAGGCGCCAGGCCAGAGCGAAGGGCGUUUCAGUGCCGCCGCCGCUGCGCCGGGAAGGGGGGCGUUGGUGGCAGGAAGCGAGCUUCGCCGAGGUCGUCGCGGGACCAGCUGGUGACCUCGCAGGAUGAACCACAAGAGCAAGAAGCGGAUCCGCGAGGCCAAGCGGAGUGCGCGGCCGGAGCUGAAGGACUCGCUGGACUGGACCCGGCACAACUACUACGAGAGCUUCUCUCUGAACCCGGCGGCUGUGGCGGAUAACGUGGAAAGGGCAGACGCGUUACAGCUAUCGGUGGGAGAAUUUGUGGAGCGUUAUGAAAGACCUUACAAGCCCGUGGUUCUGCUGAAUGCCCAGGAGGGCUGGUCUGCGCAGGAGAAAUGGACUCUGGAGCGCCUGAAAAGGAAGUACCGGAACCAGAAGUUCAAGUGUGGUGAGGAUAAUGACGGCUACUCUGUGAAGAUGAAGAUGAAAUACUACAUCGAGUAUAUGGAGAGCACUCGAGAUGACAGUCCCCUUUACAUCUUUGACAGCAGCUACGGCGAACAUCCCAAAAGAAGAAAACUUUUGGAAGACUACAAGGUGCCCAAGUUUUUCACUGAUGACCUCUUCCAGUAUGCAGGGGAGAAGCGCAGGCCCCCUUACAGGUGGUUUGUAAUGGGGCCACCACGCUCUGGAACCGGAAUUCACAUCGAUCCCCUGGGAACCAGUGCCUGGAAUGCCUUAGUUCAGGGCCACAAACGCUGGUGCCUGUUCCCUACCAGCACGCCCAGGGAACUCAUCAAGGUGACCCGCGAAGAAGGAGGGAACCAGCAAGAUGAAGCUAUUACCUGGUUUAAUAUCAUUUAUCCCCGGACACAGCUUCCAACCUGGCCACCCGAAUUCAAACCCUUGGAAAUCUUACAAAAACCAGGAGAGACUGUCUUUGUACCAGGAGGCUGGUGGCACGUUGUCCUCAAUCUUGAUACCACCAUCGCCGUCACCCAGAAUUUUGCCAGCAGCACCAACUUCCCUGUUGUAUGGCACAAGACGGUAAGAGGGAGACCAAAGUUAUCGAGGAAAUGGUACAGAUACAGCACGGGCAGCGGCAGUGCAAGCCACCCCCAGCCACCCCGUGCCACUGUGUCCCAACCCUGACCUGGAGGGACCAGCUCUCGGGGAUCUUGAAGCAAGAGCACCCCGAGCUGGCGGUCCUGGCCGACUCCGUUGACCUGCAGGAAUCCACAGGGAUCGCCUCCGACAGCUCGAGUGACUCCUCCAGCUCGUCCAGUUCCAGCUCGUCCGACUCAGACUCAGAGUGUGAGUCAGGGUCUGAAGGUGACGGGACGAUGCACCGCCGGAAGAAGAGGAGGACGUGCAGCAUGAUGGGAAAUGGGGACACCACCUCCCAGGACGACUGUGUGAGCAAAGAGCGCAGCUCCUCCAGGUGACCAAGCACAGCCGUUGUCUGUGUAGGCGGACAUGCCCGCAGCGAGGGGCAGGGCCCAGGGAGGGCAGCCUGUCGGACCUGCAGACACGGGGAUGGCCAGCGAAAGAAAGCCAGAGAGUGAGGACGCUCCUGGGGUACGAGUCCAUUCACUUAGCAUUUGCUGCAGUAGCUUUUCUCUCUGCUUCCAAUGCAAGUUAACGUGGCUUGUUUUAUGCAUAAAGGCGAAUCUUCUGGAUGGUGCCAAGAAACCCUUUACAUUAUUUAAUAAAAAUUAA